rnacentral:rRNA from 1 species
UACGGAGGGUGCAAGCGUUAAUCGGAAUUACUGGGCGUAAAGCGCGCGUAGGCGGUUUUUCAAGUCGGAUGUGAAAGCCCCGGGCUCAACCUGGGAACUGCAUCCGAUACUGGAAGACUAGAAUGCGGGAGAGGGAGGUAGAAUUCCAUGUGUAGCAGUGAAAUGCGUAGAUAUAUGGAGGAAUACCAGUGGCGAAGGCGGCCUCCUGGCUCGACAUUGACGCUGAGGUGCGAAAGCGUGGGGAGCAAACGGG